rnacentral:rRNA from 1 species
GACGAACGCUGGCGGCGUGCUUAACACAUGCAAGUCGAACGAAGUGGCGAACGGGUGAGUAACGCGUAAUCAACCUGCCCUUCAGAGGGGACCACAGUUGGAAACGACUGCUAAUUACGCAUACUUAAGGAGGGGAUUUGGUCUGAUUAGCCAGUUGGAGGGGUUAAGGCCCACCCAGGCGAUGAUCAGUAGCCGGUCUGAGAGGAUGAACGGCCACAGUGGGACUGAGACACGGCCCAGACUCCUACGGGAGGCAGCAGUGGGGAAUCUUCCGCAAUGGACGAAAGUCUGACGGAGCAACGCCGCGUGAGUGAUGACGGCCUUCGGGUUGUAAAGCUCUGUUAAUCGGGACGCGGUACCGGAAUAGAAAGCCACGGCUAACUACGUGCCAGCAGCCGCGGUAAUUC